GGGGGCUCGCCGGGCCCGCCCGGGCAAGGCCAGGCCGGGCCGGGCCAGGCAUCGCCGGCCGCCGGCCCCGAGGGGGUGGCCCGUGGAGUUCUCGGCCUACGCGCGGCCUUCUUGAGGGGAAACGCAGCGCCGUGCGGAGCGCUUGGUAAAGGGUGCUCGCGGGGGGAGGCCGACGCGCUUACGAGGGCCUUCCUUUCCCCGUAUAAAGCCAUCCCUCGCUCAGGUUUCAUUGUGCUGAAUUAAAUAAACCGGGCGUUCUAACCCUCUUCAUUCCCCCGAGUCCUCCUCUGCGCUUUUCCUCACGUCCCUCUUUUUUCCUACUCCAGAAUAGGAUACAGCAAAAGGGAACAUGUUCCAGGGGAAACUCCCCGGGGCGCGAGCCCCCCUUCCCCACCGCCUGGGUCCAGCUGCAGCAGCCCGUACCCAGCAGCGGUCUUGUGCCUGGCAUCACCCCUCGGCUCCCACGCUGCCCUCCUGCUGCGCGGGCGGCUUGGCUGAAACCCCUCGCUUCUUGGCCCAAAGCGUUGCCCGCCAGCUCAGGUGGGAUUUUCACAGCCCACACGCCCGCGGGUCUGAGAGCGACAAGGAAAUGAGGACCGCGAUAAGCCCCCAAGCCCCGCGAGUGCCGUGCACGGUGGCACUUGCCUAACGAUGCCUGAUGGAAGAUACUGCGGCGAACCAUGGAAACUGAGGGGCCAAAUCCACAGAUGACAAUUCACACCUGCUGCCUGGCUUGCACCAACGACUCUCCAAAUCGCAGAGCCUUGGUGUUGCGCUUUCCGGGCUGCCGGAGAGCGGCUGGGAAGCACUGCUGGCGGGACGGGAGGCUCCUAGGAGUCUGCUUGCUUGACCUCAGUCCCAGGAUUCCUGUAGUUUCUUGUAAACGUGCCACAGCAUGCUGAAAAUUAUAGACCUGAGUGAGUUAACAUUGCGCACAUGAUAAAUGCUUGGAAUGCUGAGCAGCUAAUUCAAACAAGCGUAAAGUUGUGGAUGCAAUGAUUAACAAGGAAAGUAUCUUAGGCCGACAUAGCAGAGUUGCACGGAUGCAUUUCAAUUUGAUAUAGAAACACCCCACCCCAUUUUUAAUAGUUGAUGACAGCUUAUCAGACACAUCAGAGACUUCAGAGUGCUCCUGGGACACAGCAGCUCAGGUGGCUUGAAGAAAUGAGGCAAAGGAGAUGAAAGCUGAUUUUGGAGAAGAAAAAAAUUACAUAUUUAGGUACCCACACAUAGGCAAAGGUUGGCAUACAUGUCAAGAGAACAUUCUCCAGCUGGGGCCUGCAGUAUAGAGAAUUGUAUACUCCAGAGGGCUCAUGGGACCUUAGGCAGAUUAUUAUGGUAAUAUUGGAGACUGCUGUCCUUUCCCUCCCACAGCUGGGCCGCCUCUCUCAUUCAUUAGAGAAGCCACCCUUUGUAAAGAGGAAAGAGCCCCCAAAUAACAAUGAGUUGGUUCCUUGUGUCACCAUGAAGCCGCACAUUUGCUACUCCUGAGCUGAUGUGAAGAUGUGUAUUUCACAUUUGAUGCAAGAUUGCACUCAGCAGAAUGAGGUGAAAA